GAUGAACGCUAGCUCCAGGCUCAAAACAUGAAAUUCGAGGGACCGUCGCACAGGUGAGUAACACGUAUCCAACCUGCCCUUUACUCUGGGAUAGCCUUUCGACAGCAAGAUUAAUACCCGAUAUAACGGAUGGGGAUGCGUUCCAUUAGGUUGUUGGUGAGGUAACGGCUCACCAAGCCUUCGAUGGAUAGGGGUUCUUAGAGGAAGGUCCCCCACAUUGGAACUGAGACACGCUCCAAAGUCCUACGGGAGGCAGCAGGGAGGAAUAUUGGUCAAUGGGCGCUAGCCUGAACCAGCCAAGUAGCGUGAAGGAUGAAGGCUUAUGGUUCGUAAACUUCUUUUAUAUAAGAAUAGGUGUGAUAUGAAUAAGGAUAGUCUAACUACGUGCCAGCAGCCGCGGUAAUAC
rnacentral:rRNA from 1 species